rnacentral:rRNA from 1 species
UACGUAGGGGGCAAGCGUUGUCCGGAAUCACUGGGCGUAAAGCGUGCGUAGGCGGUCAAGUAAGUCUGGAGUGAAAGUCCAGGGCUCAACCCUGGGAAUGCUUUGGAAACUGUUUGACUUGAGUGCUGGAGAGGCAAGGGGAAUUCCACGUGUAGCGGUGAAAUGCGUAGAUAUGUGGAGGAAUACCAGUGGCGAAGGCGCCUUGCUGGACAGUGACUGACGCUGAGGCACGAAAGCGUGGGGAGCAAACAGG